UCCGACUUAACGUCGGCAGUCUCUUUAGAGUGCCCAACUUAAUGCUGGCAACUAAAGACAGGGGUUGCGCUCGUUAUGGGACUUAACCCGACAUCUCACGACACGAGCUGACGACAGCCAUGCAGCACCUGAUGAUAGUGUCCCGAAGGCCUGCCUUAUCUCUAAGACAUUCACUACCACUUCAAACCCAGGUAAGGUUUUUCGCGUUGCAUCGAAUUGAACCACAUGCUCCACCGCUUGUGCGGGCCCCCGUCAAUUUCUUUGAGUUUUAAUCUUGCGACCGUACUUCCCAGGCGGGAUACUUAACGCGUUAGCUUCGGCACUGAAGGGGUCAAUACCUCCAACACCAAGUAUCCAUCGUUUACGGUGCGGACUAC
rnacentral:misc_RNA from 1 species